ACCCAUGCUGCCUUGUGCAGGACCACAGCCAGAAGUUUUGGAAGAGUCCUGGGAUAAAACGUAAUUGCUGUCUGAUGGCUGAACAAAAAUCUAAUCCUGUAUGGCAGCAUUUCACAAAGCCAACACCAGGAAAAGCCAGGUGCAAUAUCUGCAGCAGA